GCUUGCUUCGGCAGCACAUAAACUAAAAUUGGAA
rnacentral:snRNA from 1 species